UCAAAGGACACCAGAAACAAAAUUGUAGACCUGCACCAGGCUGGGAAGACUGAAUCUGCAAUAGGUAAGCAGCUUGGUGUGAAGAAAUCAACUGUGAGUGUAUAAGAAAAUGGAAGACAUACAAGACCACUGAUAAUCUCCCUCGAUCCGGGGCUCCACGCAAGACCUCACCCCGUGGGGUCAAAAUGAUCACAA